UAACUCCUCGAGGGAGAGAGCCCUCAUCUUUUAGGACAAUGAAGAAAUGAGCCAUUCCAGUGCUUCUACUGGUAGUGAUGAUGGUGGCAAGUGUGGAUGGUGAAGAUCUGGAUGAUAAUGUCGUGGCAAAAAUGAUGGACAUCAGUAUAUCGCGAGCCCUUGAGCUCACAUGGGAGCAAUGUAACAAUUAUAG